UCAGUUCCCGGCGCGGACGAGUCGUCCCGCCUCCCGGCGACGAUGUUAGAGGGGAAAAGGAGAGGUUCAGGACGGCGUCGCUCUGCCUCGGCCUCACCGCCUGCCCCGUCGCGGCCCCGCCGGCCCCCGCGCCCCGCACCGGCAGGUGCCGCCGCCCGCCCCGUCGCGGCCCCAGCAGCGCUGGCGACCGCCUCCCUUCCCGGCCCGCCGCGGGGAGAAGAGGGGCGAAACACGGCAGGAGACAGCGAGUGAAACAAACCGGAGAGAAACGGGAAAGGAUGCAGCAGAAGAGCCAGGGGCGCGCAGGCACAGGCCGCCCCGCGGACCGCUUUGCUGCGGGUAGUUUUGGGAGGCUGGUGCCGGCGAAGAGGAGUACCAGGUGGAGGAGCAGGGGAGAUCCGGGUGCAGCUUUUUGGAAGCGACAUGAAAACUCUCUUUGGGAGGAAAAGCAAUGUUUUCCCAAGGAGCACGUGGACCGCGUCUCCCCCUUUAAUAUUUAUUUGCUAAACCAACUACACUAAAGCAACUAAAUAAGCAAAACCAGGAAGUAAUCAAUAGAGUUAAAGCUGAGCAAACGCUGCGGUGCCAGUGCAAGGCAUCUACUGCGGGCGGCUCUGUGCUUUCAUGAGCCUGGCACAAACUCCUAUGCCGGCCGUCGCAGGGAAGCGCAACAGGUACAUGCCGGCUCACCCAGCGCCCCUUCCUCCAAAGCAUGAUAGUGCUAGGCACCAUCAUUGCCACCACCAGAAAACAAACUCCUAAAAAGAGCAGACCUAUGGGUAAAACACUGGGGCAUUAAGACUCUGUGCUUUUUUUUUUUUUUUUUUGCUUUUUUUUCUUUUUGAUUACUCAGGGAACAGUUGUUUGCUCUCAAAUAUAAGUGUUUGUGAGGAAUUUCUCUCUUGCAAAGCACAAUAAAUGCAUGCUAAAGCCACCUCCUUUUGUCUUUAGAAAAAGAAA